rnacentral:rRNA from 1 species
AAAGGGCGCGUAGGCGGUUCGGACAGUCAGGUGUGAAAUUCCCGGGCUUAACCUGGGGACUGCAUUUGAUACGUCCGGGCUAGAGUGCGGAAGAGGGUCGUGGAAUUCCCAGUGUAGAGGUGAAAUUCGUAGAUAUUGGGAAGAACACCGGUGGCGAAGGCGGCGACCUGGUCCGUGACUGACGCUGAGGCGCGAAAGCGUGGGGAGCAAACAGGAUUAGAUACCCUGGU